AUUGAACGCUGGCGGCAGGCCUAACACAUGCAAGUCGAACGAGUGGCGGACGGGUGAGUAAUGUCUGGGAAACUGCCCGAUGGAGGGGGAUAACUACUGGAAACGGUAGCUAAUACCGCAUACCAUCGGAUGUGCCCAGAUGGGAUUAGCUAGUGGGUGGGUUAACGGCUCACCUAGGCGACGAUCCCUAGCUGGUCUGGGAGGAUGACCAGCCACACUGGAACUGAGACACGGUCCAGACUCCUACGGGAGGCAGCAGUGGGGAAGAUUGGACAAUGGGCGAAAGCCUGAUGAAGCCAUGCCGCGUGUAUGAAGAAGGCCUUCGGGUUGUAAAGUACUUUCAGCAGGGAGGCGUUACUUGAAGAAGAAGCACCGGCUAACUACGUGCCAGCAGCCGCGGUAAUAC
rnacentral:rRNA from 1 species